rnacentral:tRNA from 1 species
GCACGGGAGGCUCAGUGGUAGAAUUCUUGCCUUCCAUCCAGGAGACACAGGUUCGACUCCUGGCCAGUGCA